CAGCAGCCACGGUAAGACAGAGGGUGCGAGCGUUAAUCGGAAUUACUGGGCGUAAAGCGUACGCAGGCGGUUUGUUAAGUCAGAUGUGAAAUCCCCGAGCUUAACUCGGGAACUGCAUUUGAAACUGGCAGGCUAGAGUCUCGUAGAGGGGGGUAGAAUUCCAGGUGUAGCGGUGAAAUGCGUAGAGAUCUGGAGGAAUACCGGUGGCGAAGGCGGCCCCCUGGACGAAGACUGACGCUCAGGUACGAAAGCGUGGGGAGCAAACAGGAUUAGAUACCCGAGUAGUCCCUGUCUCUUAUAC
rnacentral:rRNA from 1 species